rnacentral:rRNA from 1 species
UACAGAGGGUGCGAGCGUUGUUCGGAAUUAUUGGGCGUAAAGGGCGCGUAGGCGGCGCCACAAGUCACCUGUGAAAACUCUGGGCUCAACCCAGAGCCUGCAGGCGAAACUGUGGUGCUGGAGUAUGGGAGAGGUGCGUGGAAUUCCCGGUGUAGCGGUGAAAUGCGUAGAUAUCGGGAAGAACACCCGUGGCGAAGGCGGCUCUCUGGGACGGUACUGACGCUGAGACGCGAAAGCGUGGGGAGCGAACAGG